UUGCUUAUAAGAAAAUUUAUCAUAGCAGAACAUAAAUAGGUUCUGAUCGGCUUCGUGAAAGAUCCAGUAUAAAGAAGCUUUUCUCACCAUUUUCUUACCAUGGAUAAAUUUGUUACCAUUUUCUUUGUAGCUUCUCUUUCACUUGAUUUCCAUUAUUCUCUCCCACCACCUUCAAUUCUGUUGUCUAUUUCAUUUUAUGCAGUCUUCACACCAUCUAAAGAGGCCACAACAAUUCACUACACUUUUGGGACCCCUUCUAGGAGUAAAAUUCAUACAAGUGAAGAUGCAUAAGGGUUGUGAUGGC
rnacentral:lncRNA from 1 species